AAAACUCUAAUUCAUAGUAUGUAGCAGGUCCAUGCAGUUUGCAGCUAGGAGCUGGUGCACGAGACAGGCAAUUUAAAUGCAGUGGAGAGAAGGAUUGUCUCCUUCUAAUUUUUUUCCAGUUUGGCAUAAACCGAAACAAAGGCUCCAAGCAGGGAGAAAGGAGGAAGAAUGCAAAGGAAAUACAUCAUUCUAUGAGCAAUAUCUAGUGCUUAACUAAUGCCACCAAAUCUUUCUGGAGUCAAGAUAAGCAUGGACUUAACAGAGGAGAAAGUGAAUUAACGUGUGAUUUCACAUGCGUAUGAAUCAUUUGAAACACCCCCAGCCUUCAGAGUUCACAUUUACAUUUUGAACUUUGCGUCUUUGACUCCUUUCUGUACGUAGGCAUCACGGGGCUUAUUUCAGCGUUAUUCGAAGACUUCUAAGGCCUUGAAAUACUUCAGUGAAAGUUUCUGAAACUUGCAUUGUGUAAAAUCGGUUUGCAUUUGGUUGCUGGUAAAAGAGAACGUCAAAGGAAAGGAAAGCUUUGAUAGGCCCUGAAGUCUAUAUCAGCUCAGCAGAGGUGCAGAAGGGAGAGGUCCACCCUAUCCCUUCCCUGCUGGUGGCCCUAAAAGGAACAUGAACAGCAUUGGUGCCACAUGGGAAGGAUGAAAAAAGCAAGGGAAUUGGUCUCAACAUUGUGUAUAUAUAUAUUAAGAACACUAAAGAUGAGGAGGAAAGAAACCAUUAAAGGCAGCAGAGGAACCCAUAUUCCUUGCAGGAGGAGAUCCAAAUAUUUUUCUCAAAAGAAACUGUGUUGCGAAGAGAGAAGGAAAACUCUAACCCAAAUGUCAUUCUGCCUAGCAUGCUGCACUUCAUGUUAGCACAGGCUGGCAAUUUUCCAUUCCUUGCAACUUUUGGCCAAAACCUGAUUACCUUUUGUAAUGAGGGGCAUACCCUUCAGCAGUGAUAACAAAGUGGUAUGUAUGUAUGAGGUGGUGGUGGUGGUGGUGGUGGUGUAGUGGACAGAUUGAUGGACUAGAACUCAGGAGGCCUGGGUUUAAUCCCUUACUCAGCCAUAGAAACCCACUGGGAAGAAGGAGCAGGUAAAACCAAUCCUUAAAUAUCUCACUUAACUUGAAAGUCCUAUUUGGGUCAUUCUAAGUCAAUUCUGGCUUGAUGGCACAAAUACAUGGUACAGUCAAGGAUGCAUUUAAAGGCCAAUGAAGCUAUAUGACCAAAGGGCUGCCUCACACAGUUGUUUGGAAGAUAU
rnacentral:lncRNA from 1 species